rnacentral:lncRNA from 1 species
CCAGACCCAGGUUUGGCUCCCCAUCGCUGGAAAGCUGAACACAAGAGGUGCUUGAGUGACAUGAGUCUCUUAAUCAUUUAAAAAUUAAAGCAUCAUCAACCAGCACUGUAGAAUUAAGAAUAUAAGGCAUCCCAUUCUGCCCUGCAUAUUCAAGGGUGGGCCCUAACUCUAAUCACCAGUGUUGUUAUGAAGAGAGAGACAUUUAGACAUGGACAAACACAGGGAAGAUAGCCAUGUGAUGACAGAGGCAGGGAUUGGAUCGAUACAUCUGCAAACCAAGGAAUGCCAUGGAUUCCCAAUGACCACCAAGGACAAGGAAGAGUCCAGGAAAGAUUCUUCCCCAGGGCCAACAGAGGAAGAAUGUCCUGUGAGCACCUUGACUUCACACUUCCAGCUUCCAGAACUGUGAGAAAAUAAAUCUCUGUUGUCU